UACAGAGGGUGCGAGCGUUGUCCGGAAUCACUGGGCGUAAAGGGCGCGUAGGUGGCGACCCAAGUCGAUGGUGAAAGCUCGCCGCUCAACGGCGAGUCGGCCACUGAUACUGGGUUGCUGGAGCACUGUAGAGGCAGAUGGAAUUCCGGGUGUAGCGGUGGAAUGCGUAGAUAUCGAGAGGAACACCAGUGGCGAAGGCGGCGCACUGGACCACAACUGACGCUGGAGGCGCGAAAGCUAGGGGAGCAAACAGG
rnacentral:rRNA from 1 species